AUUGAACGCUGGCGGCAGGCCUAACACAUGCAAGUCGAACGAGUGGCGGACGGGUGAGUAAUGUCUGGGAAACUGCCCGAUGGAGGGGGAUAACUACUGGAAACGGUAGCUAAUACCGCGUACCCUCGGAUGUGCCCAGAUGGGAUUAGCUUGUAGGUGGGGUAACGGCUCACCUAGGCGACGAUCCCUAGCGGGUCUGAGAGGAUGACCAGCCACACUGUACCUGAGCCACGGUCCAGACUCCUACGGGAGGCAGAAGUGGGGAAUAUUGCACAAUGUGCGCAAGCCUGAUGCGGCCAUGCCGCGUGUAUGAAGAAGGCCUUCGGGUUGGAAAGUACUUUCAGCGGGGAGGCGUUACCCGCAGAAGAAGCACCGGCUAACUCCGUGCCAGCAGCCGCGGUAAUUC
rnacentral:rRNA from 1 species